AUGGGUAUAAAUCGAUUUGAAGAGAUGAAUAUUUAAAGAUAGUUAUUUGAAUUAAAAAUUUGAAGAAGAAGAAGAAGAAGAAAAAAAAAAGAAGGAGAAAUCAUAUGUAGAGAAAGAGACGAAUAAAUAGGAAAGAAAAUAGGUCCGAAGUUGUACAAUUUUAAUUCCAUGAAACUGAUAGAUUUAGUUAAAAAGAAAUUAUAGUCAUAAAUGGUAAAUAUUUUCUCAAUAUAGCAUAUCUAAGUGAUUUACCCAUUAAAAAU
rnacentral:lncRNA from 1 species